GUCAGUUUGGCCGAGUGGUUAAGGCGAUUGACUCGAAAUCAAUUCCGUUCGCGGGCGUAGGUUCGAAUCCUACAGCUGACG
rfam:Penicillium antarcticum strain IBT 31811 PENANT_contig043, whole genome shotgun sequence.